rnacentral:lncRNA from 1 species
GUUGUCUCAGGCACAUCUGACUUCAGUCACCCUGGAGCUGCUGUGGGGUCCUCAGCACCACGGCCGGAGCUGAAGGAAGAGGCCAGGCAUCUGGGGCUUCAGGGCCUGACAGAAGCGUGAGGCGUGGCGGCUUGUUUGCCACCACAGACAGUUGUCUGAAGAACUGCCAGAUUCACUUCAGGACCAGCGCCUCCGGAGGGCAGAUGAGUCGCGGGUCUCGACUUGAUCUGAGGAGAGGGUUCACUGCAAACAAAAGUUUGACCAGCACUGGCUGUGUUCCAGUGACUCCCGCUCUCCCCGGGCCCUGAGACCCCACCCACCUGCAGCAGAAUUCUGGGCUGGGAGCCCCUCCCCACUUUGCUGAAUUCAACAGGGAAAACCGCUUGCCACCAUUCUUCUGCAAACCUAGUCCACAAAGAUGUUCCGGUACAUCCCUUGUAGGUCUCCAGCUGGUUCGGCAACAAAAGAAUCUUGUAUAAAAAGAACAUGAAGUUUCAAAAAGAGACUUCCAUUUACAUGGCUAAAACGGGAGCAGACACCACCAAAGUCGGGGGUCCAGGGAGGCAGGCCAGCUACCCAUCGAUGCCCAGGUCCAGUGAGUGAGGCUGCCCAGCCCAGGGACAGUCACUCAAGUGUGGCCGGGCCCCCUGAGCUGUGACUGGGGAAGGAGCAAGAGGACAGCACGGCCCCUUCCGACUAGUCACCACUUACACCUCUUUAUUUAGAUGUUUCUCUGGUCCCUCCCCACUGACUGGCACGAGGGACGUGCUUAUCACCCUGCAGACAGUGGCCUCUCACUGGCCUGCCCCUGGGGGAGACAGCCUGUGGUCUCAGGCUCCCUCAGAUGUCCUGGCAACAAGGAGGGGCCCAUCUGUGCACUCGACCAUCAUCGUGACGACCACAGGUGCCACCACUGCAGCAGUGAUACAAGGCCAAGCUGACGGGUGACCUCGCCUGGUCCUGUGAGGAUCACAGAUGAGAACCAGGUGCAGGAGUGAGGGGCUGCUGGGUCACAGCCGAGAGGUGUAGGCCACCACCAGGCAGCACAUUCCAGGUCCCGGCCUGCACGCCAAAAGGCUGAGAGCGAUGGCUGCACAGGAUGGAAGGUGCUCGCCUCUGCUGCUGGUCCUCCCUAGACUCCUGCCCAGCCCCAGCCCCUCUGGCUCCUGCCCACUCAGACCCAUCACGCCCACGUCGCCUAGUCUGUUGCCACACCAUGGCCUCCACGCCUCCACUUCUGCUGCUUUUAAGAAUCAGGAAAUGGAUUUCAAACAGCCAGAAGAUGGCAGCCGACUCCUCCCCCCCCCCCCCCCCAUGCCCUCCAUUCCUGUCUUUGGGUCCAGUUGCCCUGCCACAUGGCUCCCUGUGGCCUCAGACUCACCAAUAGAUGAGGGCUCUGCUCUCGUCAAGUUAUGUUCCAGAGAGAAAAGAGAGAAUAAACAUGAGCAGAAGUCUGCAGUGGGUUUGGGGUCAGCCUCCGGGAGAAGGUGGCUUUUUUUCCAUUAAUUGUGAUAAAAG